rnacentral:rRNA from 1 species
CUACGGAGGGUGCAAGCGUUAAUCGGAAUUACUGGGCGUAAAGCGUACGUAGGCGGUCCGUUAAGUUAGAUGUGAAAGCCCCGGGCUUAACCUGGGAACUGCAUUUAAAACUGGCGAACUAGAGUUGAGUAGAGGGGAGUGGAAUUUCAGGUGUAGCGGUGAAAUGCGUAGAGAUCUGAAGGAACACCAGUGGCGAAGGCGACUCCCUGGACUCGAACUGACGCUGAGGUACGAAAGCGUAGGUAGCAAACGGGAUUAGAAACCCCAGUAGUCC